GGCCCUGUAGCUCAGUCGGAUAGAGCGGCGGUUUCCUAAACCGAAGGUCGGGGGUUCGAGUCCCUCCAGGGCCA
rnacentral:tRNA from 1 species